rnacentral:snoRNA from 1 species
UUGCAGCCAAUUAAGCCAAGCAGGUUCUUUUCUUCCUGGGAACAAAGGAGGCAAACAGUGGCUUCUGCAGUAGUGCAUGCAGCAUGCGGCUUGUAUGGGAUUUCCUACGGAGCCUUGGAGACAACU